rnacentral:piRNA from 1 species
UGAAAUUUGGAGGCUCUGGUGAUAUUAUUU